AGAGUUUGAUCAUGGCUCAGAUUGAACGCUGGCGGCAGGCCUAACACAUGCAAGUCGAGCGGUAGCACAGAGAGCUUGCUCUCGGGUGACGAGCGGCGGACGGGUGAGUAAUGUCUGGGAAACUGCCUGAUGGAGGGGGAUAACUACUGGAAACGGUAGCUAAUACCGCAUAAUGUCGCAAGACCAAAGUGGGGGACCUUCGGGCCUCAUGCCAUCAGAUGUGCCCAGAUGGGAUUAGCUAGUAGGUGGGGUAAUGGCUCACCUAGGCGACGAUCCCUAGCUGGUCUGAGAGGAUGACCAGCCACACUGGAACUGAGACACGGUCCAGACUCCUACGGGAGGCAGCAGUGGGGAAUAUUGCACAAUGGGCGCAAGCCUGAUGCAGCCAUGCCGCGUGUGUGAAGAAGGCCUUCGGGUUGUAAAGCACUUUCAGCGGGGAGGAAGGCGAUAAGGUUAAUAACCUUGGCGAUUGACGUUACCCGCAGAAGAAGCACCGGCUAACUCCGUGCCAGCAGCCGCGGUAAUACGGAGGGUGCAAGCGUUAAUCGGAAUUACUGGGCGUAAAGCGCACGCAGGCGGUCUGUCAAGUCGGAUGUGAAAUCCCCGGGCUCAACCUGGGAACUGCAUUCGAAACUGGCAGGCUAGAGUCUUGUAGAGGGGGGUAGAAUUCCAGGUGUAGCGGUGAAAUGCGUAGAGAUCUGGAGGAAUACCGGUGGCGAAGGCGGCCCCCUGGACAAAGACUGACGCUCAGGUGCGAAAGCGUGGGGAGCAAACAGGAUUAGAUACCCUGGUAGUCCACGCCGUAAACGAUGUCGAUUUGGAGGUUGUGCCCUUGAGGCGUGGCUUCCGGAGCUAACGCGUUAAAUCGACCGCCUGGGGAGUACGGCCGCAAGGUUAAAACUCAAAUGAAUUGACGGGGGCCCGCACAAGCGGUGGAGCAUGUGGUUUAAUUCGAUGCAACGCGAAGAACCUUACCUGGUCUUGACAUCCACAGAACUUUCCAGAGAUGGAUUGGUGCCUUCGGGAACUGUGAGACAGGUGCUGCAUGGCUGUCGUCAGCUCGUGUUGUGAAAUGUUGGGUUAAGUCCCGCAACGAGCGCAACCCUUAUCCUUUGUUGCCAGCGGUUCGGCCGGGAACUCAAAGGAGACUGCCAGUGAUAAACUGGAGGAAGGUGGGGAUGACGUCAAGUCAUCAUGGCCCUUACGACCAGGGCUACACACGUGCUACAAUGGCAUAUACAAAGAGAAGCGACCUCGCGAGAGCAAGCGGACCUCAUAAAGUAUGUCGUAGUCCGGAUUGGAGUCUGCAACUCGACUCCAUGAAGUCGGAAUCGCUAGUAAUCGUAGAUCAGAAUGCUACGGUGAAUACGUUCCCGGGCCUUGUACACACCGCCCGUCACACCAUGGGAGUGGGUUGCAAAAGAAGUAGGUAGCUUAACCUUCGGGAGGGCGCUUACCACUUUGUGAUUCAUGACUGGGGUGAAGUCGUAACAAGGUAACCGUAGGGGAACCUGCGGUUGGAUCACCU
rnacentral:rRNA from 1 species